rnacentral:rRNA from 1 species
GACGAACGCUGGCGGCGUGCCUAAUACAUGCAAGUUGAGCGCUGAAGGUUGGUACUUGUACCAACUGGAUGAGCAGCGAACGGGUGAGUAACGCGUGGUGAAUCUGCCUUUGAGCGGGGGACAACAUUUUGAAACGAAUGCUAUACCGCAUAAAAACUUUAAACACAAGUUUUAAGUUUGAAAGAUGCAAUUGCAUCACUCAAAGAUGAUCCCGCGUUGUAUUAGCUAGUUGGUGAGGUAAAGGCUCACCAAGGCGAUGAUACAUAGCCGACCUGAGAGGGUGAUCGGCCACAUUGGGACUGAGACACGGCCCAAACUCCUACGGGAGGCAGCAGUAGGGAAUCUUCGGCAAUGGACGAAAGUCUGACCGAGCAACGCCGCGUGAGUGAAGAAGGUUUUCGGAUCGUAAAAAUCUGUUGGUAGAGAAGAACGUUGGUGAGAGUGGAAAGCUCAUCAAGUGACGGUAACUACACAGAAAGGGACGGCUAACUACGUG